CAGUGCGCACAGACCCAUAUGGAGCCUGUGAGUUGGGUUAUAGUCAGAUAGGAGCGUGGCUUUAAAGAUGUCAUGGUGUUAAAUGUAAGGUCUACACAACCUGACAGCACAGCCUCAAUUCUUUCUUUUAUUUAUUUUAUUUUUUUUUCUUCCCAACAAGGGACAAAUAACUUGGUUGAGGAGCGCUGUGUUGGUUCAAGGGAAAGAUGCAGGGCAAUAAUUGAUGUAAGCAGGUCUGACGGAGACCUCACCAGAGUGACUUAUGGCUCAGUUAGCCAGCGAGAUUAACGUCGAAGGUCGCCGAGUAAAAUCAGAUCUUUCUGCCUGCCAGGAGGUGGAAAAGCUUUACAGGAUGCAGAGGAUUAAGUACAUCCACAGCCAAGCUGGAGCUAUGUGCCUCUAAUAACUCUUCCAGCCAAAUCUCAGCUGCUACUGUGGCAAAGGCUUUGCAAUACCCUGCUCCCCUCUCCCUGCUGUGGGGUACCCAUCACCGGAGUUCCCAUCAGCAGAGUACCCACCACCAAGGUACCCAUUGCCAGGGUACCUAUCACCAAGAUGCUCAUCACCAAGGUACCCAUCACCAAGGUGUCCAUCACUAAGGUACCCAUCAUCAAGGAAUCAUCACCAGAGUACCCAUCACCAAGGAACCCAUAACCAGAGUAUACAUCACCCAUCACUGAGGCACCCAUCACCAGGAUCCCAGGGGACAUGUAAGGCAGUCGCAGGCUCCCCAGCCCUUUCAAAGGAAACACAUUUCUCCUACGUAGCCAUGCAAAGCUGAGCAGCCCAGCACCCAGCACAGCGCUUCCACCUUGAAGUUCCAUGGGCAUCUGUAAAAUCACCGACUCCAGCUGAAAACGUCGCUUUGGGGAGGCUGCGGCACUGCACCCCGGCCUCGCUGCAUCCCAGGCACUGCAGCGGGGUGGCGGCAGCUUUCAGAAUGGUUCCCCUGAGAGGAUGAUGGAUAUUGGGAUGAGAGUACAGCCCUGCAGCCAGCUCUGUGCGUGCUCACCAGUGCCCAGUGCGGUGCCAGCUGCCAGCGGGUGCACAGGAGCUGAAGCACACGGUGAGCUUUGUGCAAAAGCCCUCAAAACCCCUCCCAGACAGCUGCGGUGCAUCACCAGGACCUCCCCUUGCAGACCUAAAUAUAAUCCCUCCCUGCUCUUGCUCCCGGCCAGAGCACAGCAAAAGCACUGAAUCACAGCAGCACGCAAGGCCACCCCAAAAUCCACGCUCCCCCAUCAGGCUGAAACACACACAGCUGGGAUGGAAAUCGGGGAGUCACAGCAAGCUGCCUGCCUCCCCCUCCCCUUAAUCUCCUUUAUAAGCACGGCUCUAUCUCCUCCCGUUACAGGAUUAACACCCAUCUCUCAUUCUCCUCUUGCAACAAGAUUUUAUUUCUAAUUACGCUGUAAUAAAACUGGGCGCGCUCCCAGGGUUGCUUCCAAAUGACUUGUAGACACUCGGCGAGAUUGGAUCCUACUCGGGCCCAUUGUCAGCGCGCCUGCCUGACAUUCAUUAGACAUGCAUGAGGGAGAUGUUUUAAGAAUGGAAUUGCAUUUAAAUGGGCUUUCUGAGAAGG